GAGGGUAUAGCUCAGUGGUAGAGAGCAUGCCUAGUGUGCACAAGGUCCUGGAUUCAAUCCCCAGUACCUCCA
rfam:Camelus ferus unplaced genomic scaffold scaffold236, whole genome shotgun sequence.